CUUACAGUCAUAGUUGAUAAUGACAAAGUUAUCAAGUAUUGCAUUAUUCAAAUAUAAUUUCAGGUUAUGCAGGUUGUUGAGAGCAAUUAAUAUGAUGAGGGAAGGCAGGAAAGAGUACCAGUCUUAUAGUCUGUAUGUACUCGUGGCAAAAUGGUGUUCGAGCGUUGGCGAAUAAGGAUUUGCUUGCAGCGUUGAAGAACGAUAAUUUGCAAAGAACAGAAAGAAAGGUUCUCUUAACAUAGAAAGUAAAGAAAUAAUGAAGUUCACACUACAGUUGACAAUAUGGAUGUGUUUCCUUUGUUAUUUGAACAUGAUUUAUUUUAACUUACAUAACAAGUAUGCACUACAAUAAUGAAUAUCUAUAUUAAUAGUAAUGAUAUUCCAUUAAACAUGGAUAUGGAAAAAAUAUUCUUUGACAGUGCAAGAUAAGAUAAAUCCAGACAUAGUUUCAUCCACAUACUUGAUAUUUGUCUUGUAACUACAUGUAUUUUAUGAGGUUAAGUGGUGAGUAAUCAACUUUUAUCAUAACAGUUUCUUAUUUGGGGAUAGUAUGUAUUUAUGUUGACACUGUGUACCUUCAUUCUCUUCAUUUUUCUGUACGAAACAAGACCAAAUGUGUCAUUUUAGUUUAACCGUUUUAAACUGUAUUUAUUAUACUCUUCAUUGAAUAGCCUAACAAAUUUAAAUGUGUUGUUAUUUUGAUUAUAUUGUAUCGGUGUCAUAAGGUACAUGUACAUGUCCAUUCCUAGCCUUCAAGAUAAAACAGAUAUAUUCUUUGUUGUAAAAUGUGUUCUUUAUGCAUAAACUACUAACUUACAUUUUUCCGCUUAACAAGUAUUCCAACAUGCUACACAUUUACUCACCGGUUGUCUAAAGUACCCGCCAACGUUGGUCGUCCCCGCAUAUCUGUCAAUAAU